CUGUGCACUACAACAUGACAGGUAAAUACUCCUCUGUAUACCUCAACAUGUCAGAGUAAAAUACUCCUCUAUACACACAGCAUGACAGGUAAAUGCUCCUCUGUAUACUCAACAUGUCAGGUAAAUGCACCUCUAUACACACAGCAUGACAGGUGUAAAUACACCCUGUAUACCCAACAUGUCAGGUAAUACUCCUCUGUAUACUCAACGUGACAGGUAAAUACUCCUUUAUUCUCUCAACUUGUUAGGUAAAUGUGCAUUUCCCUUUACCAUGGUGAGGACGGUCCAAACCACGCCGCUAUACUUCAUCCAGCCGGGCUAAACUAACCUUCCAUCAUUACAGGUACAGGAACCUCAGGAUGCAAUGCAAGAGGAAACCACCCAGGACAAACACGGAAGGAAGAAGGAAAGAAAGAGGCUGGUGACUUGAAGACAGGACCGGCCUAUCAACAAACCGGGGAUGAAGCUGAACAACAUGGAGCCUCGAGUGACGUGGAGCAGAGAUGCGAACCACCGCCACAGUGAGAGCAGCUGAUGAUAGUGUUCCACGUCAAGGAGUGACACAGAAAGACUCCAACCCCGCCAUGUUGACGCCCUCCUUGCUGCCUGCUGUGUGAUGGGAACAUGGCCGAGGUGAAGCGUCUCCUGGAUCUGGGACAGGUAGACAUCAACUAUAGAGGAGGAUUGAGCCGGACACCGGUGAUGUGGGCAGCACGGUGGGGACACAGAGAGGUGGUGGAGCUGCUACUGAGUAGAGGAGCUGAUGUGUCACUGGUGGACGUGGCGGUAACAACAUCCUUCACUGGGCCUGUGUGGAUGGAGACGUGGGGACGGUGGAGUUGAUACUGUCCCAGCACGUGGUGGACGUCAACGCCAGGAACAACCACGGGGAGACAGCGGCCGACAGGGCGAGAGACAGGGGACAUCAUCAACUGGCGGAUCUCGUGUCACGUGCUGCUCGGUGAAGUCGUGUGGUGUGGUGCAGACAGUGAUGAUGCUGUUACUGACACUGACGUGGUGCGUGCCGUUCACGUCGUCGUAUUUACAUUGUGGGACCACGGUUAGAAUUAUUGUUGUGUUUGAGGAGAAAUAAAACUUGUUGAAAACA